UACAGAGGGGGCAAGCGUUGUUCGGAAUUACUGGGCGUAAAGGGCGCGUAGGCGGCCUUCUAAGUCGAACGUGAAAUCCCCGGGCUCGAACCCGGGAACUGCGUCCGAUACUGGAAGGCUUGAAUCCGGGAGAGGGAUGCGGAAUUCCAGGUGUAGCGGUGAAAUGCGUAGAUAUCUGGAGGAACACCGGUGGCGAAGGCGGCGAGUCCUGGACCGGCAUUGACGCUGAGGCGCGAAAGCGUGGG
rnacentral:rRNA from 1 species